UACGGGGGGAGCAAGCGUUGUUCGGAUUUACUGGGCGUAAAGGGCGCGUAGGCGGCCACCGCAAGUCGACUGUGAAAUCUCCGGGCUUAACCCGGAAAGGUCAGCCGAUACUGCGGGGCUAGAGUGCAGAAGGGGCAACUGGAAUUCUCGGUGUAGCGGUGAAAUGCGUAGAUAUCGGGAGGAAUACCGGUGGCGAAGGCGGCAUCCUGGACCGACAUUGACGCUGAGGAGCGAAAGCCAGGGAGCAAAGCGGG
rnacentral:rRNA from 1 species